rnacentral:snRNA from 1 species
AUACCUACCUGGCAGGGGAGACACCAGGAUCACGAAGGUGGUUUUCCCAGGGCGAGGCUUAUCCAUUGCACUCCGGAUGUGCUGACCCCUGCAAUUUCCCCAAAUGCGGGAAACUCGACUGCAUAAUUUGUGGUAGUGGGGGACUGCGUUCGCGCUCUCUCCUG